GGUUGAUAAUUGCCAAUCUAUCAGAAUCGAUGUUCGAUGUUUUUUCGGAGAGACUUCCAAGAAAUUUCUAGGGCACUGGAUUUUGGAAUUGUAGAUUCGGACGGAGCCGAUGUGUUUUAUAACAUUUCAUUUUCUGAAAUAUUUCAUUUUCACUUUCCAUCUCAGGUUUUUUGAAUUUUGUUUUGGUUUUUUAAUUGAGAUCUUUUUUUCAUAGAAUGAUUUGUUGGCCACCGCACAUUUGCCUCCUGCGGCCAUUGUCUGUUCCUUCCUUCUGACCCCUCAGCCGGUCAGUUCUCCUGGCUUUAGCUGGACGAUUGCGAGCUCCAGGAAGUGAUCAGGCUCGAUCUGAGCCCCGCUCCGGUGAAUCUGGCCGAGGCUUCCAGAGGAAUGAAUGGCUCCUCUCUCCAGUGGCUCACUGCCAGAGCUCUAAUUUAAGCUCCAGGCUUUCUGCUCGGAGAGUGGGAGAGCAGAGGAAGCCUACCCCGGGCAGGAGUGCAGUGGGUGGGGGGAAAGUGCCUGACCCUACUCCCUUGAGUGGAAUUGAUGGCUGUUAAACUCAUCAAUGGGGAUGAGUCAUCCCAGGCAGCCAGCCGCUUCAUUCCUCCUGGCCUGCCUGCCUGAAGAGGAGAAAAGUCAAAGCGUUCACUAGCUGUCGGCUCUCUCUGGUGGAUAAUGCCUGCGAGGGUCAGAAGCUCCUCUGCAGACAGCAGUGGGCUGAUGGCGGUUGACUGAACAUGCAUCUGAUACCAUUUGGGCUGGUUUCGGUUUCAAAUACUCCCACCUUCCUCUCUCAUUAUCACUCCUGCAGACUAUUUUUUUAAAUCCACUUUGGCCUCUGCUCACAUCAACUGCUGUUUUCCUAAUAAUGGCUAUCUUUAAAUCUGUGGCCGUAAAAUUGAGGAUGCGGCCAGGAGCCAAGUACAGCGAAGGACACUGGCGUUUCAUCAGCGACACGAGAAGCAUCAGGGGGCAGAUCAAAAGCUGAACAUCAUCUUUCUGCAGAGAUUGCAACCAGCCAGAAUCACGGAAAUCAUUUCCCUGCAGAGUUUCGGUCAUUUGCAUACAGCGCCGGCUCACAGAAGCGUCUGCUGUGAAACUGCAGGCAGAAAAAAGGCAGAGAACAACUAGAAUGUUGACUUGAUUCGUUUGUGUGAUUUCUAUUCUGGCCCAACCGGUCACAGAGUUAAAUCCAUGUGUACAGAAUGUGGCUUAGAUCCCCUUAAUUGUGCCAAAAUAGCUCAGAAUCGGUGAGGUGAGAAUUUUUCAUAAUCCCCCUCUAUGUGCCCUGAGCUUGCAGGCACUCCUGAUCCGAAGAUGCACGGAGCACAUCCUCCUGUUGUGUCAGUUUAACCCAAAGCAGCCUAAACCAGGUUGUUCUUGUCCUCUGCUGAUCAUUUUCUCAACUCCAGAGGACCUCUGAUUUAGUUCUCAUUGACAUCUUUGCAGCAAAAACUUUAAAACUUCCAUUUAAUCGACAUACAUCCAUAUUUAUACCCCACAUUUCUCUGCAAUCUGCCACCUACUCAAAAGAUUCAAUUGAUUUCACAUUUUUAACCCUGUAAAAUUGGAUUUGUUUGGAUUUUUGGUUGUUGAUUUGUGAUUUACCAUGCAGUACCCAAUAAAUAUGUCUCUUUAAUCUGUUUUCAAAGCGUGGUUUUUAUUUUAUAAUUUUG